GGGGCCGCCCCGCCCAGCCCCGCGCCCGGCCUCCCCCGCCGCCCGCCAGGCCCGAGGACGCCCGGCCGCACUCCUGCGAGGAAAUGGCAUCUCCGAACUUCGUCGGAGGCCACAGCAGGCAUCUUGGCCUCGCAGCCAGGGAUCUGAAAGAGGAACGUAGGAUCCGAGAAAACUUUGUAAGCGGGAGCUGGAGAGUUCUCGGCCGGCGUGUAGAGAUCCACAUUCCCCGACUCCGUGUCCGUGGUCUGGACACCUGUUUGUUGAAUGCCCCAACUUCAAGUUUUAAGGACUUCACUCGUGAAGAAACAGCGACGAGGAAUUUAAUACAAGAAAGGAGGUUAGGUAGGAGCGGUGAGAAGACUGGACCUGAUUUAGACGUUACAUUUCAGGAGAAGGAUUCCCAGUGUGAUUGUACGUUGGAUUGGGUCACUGAUUCACAUCCAUCAGUUGGGCUGUGUGACCUGAGGCGACCUAGGUUUUCCAGCAAUCCUACUAAAGGGACUCUGGAGGUGCGGGCGAUAAUCUUCAAUCAGGUGAGACACCGGGCUUAUUUUGAUGUUAGUUAGAAUCACUGAAAAGCACUCAUUCCUAUGAGGACUAACCACAAACAAAAGGAGUCUCAUCCCUCCGGAGACAAGACUCAAAACUCAUUCAGCUGCACAUACAGUAUCAGAAAGAACAGAAGUAAACAUGAAGCCGGUGUAUAGUCUUAGCAACGACGAAACAGGCAAGCACCAUAGCCUCAGAAUCAGCUUUAAAAAGAUAGGGUGUGUCCGGGGGACAAAUUUUACCCUUUCUCUAGUAAGUUUUGAGAAAAUUUUUCAUUAGAAGAUCCAGACUAGGAUAGGCUAGGGAACAUUUUGUACAGGACACACAUCUAAAGAGAAACCCAUCCUCCUCCCCACCCCCCAACAGCUAGAAUGCAAGCUCCAUGAAGGCAGGAAUUUUAUCCAGUUCGCUGCUGUAUCCUCUGGUACCUAACAAUGACUGGCAAGUGUUCAGAAUUUCUCGUUGCUGAAUGAAUGCAUAAAUAAACAGACUGGAAGUGGCCCUGGAAUGACAGGAUUGACAGGGUUUUGUUGAGUGUGAUAAAGCCUAAGCUAAUUCUAUGAUAAAGCAGAUUGUUUUAUCUUCUAGGGUUUGUUGAGAGAUGUACUUUGGAAAUAUCAGUCAAUAUGGAAAUGUAGUUUUCUUUAUUUAACCUUAGUGCAAGGAGAGUGGUUGAGCAAAAUCAUCCUAAGAGAUUUGGAAUUCUUUAUUGUAAUUCCCUAAAGCUAGAGACUCGGAAAUAAUAUUUAAAUCAGGAGAACCAAGUUGGCCUCUUUUUAAUGAUUCGUCAAGAAUAAAAAGACCAUCUUACCCGGCGAUGGAUUUUUAGAUAGAUUUGGCUUCCAAAUUCCGACUACUUACUUGCUACAUACCAGAAUUACUUGGAGCGCGUUCUCAAAGUUCGGAUUCCCAAGCCCCUCCCCAGAUUUGCUGAGUCAGGAUUGGUGAGAAUGAGGUCUGGAAAUCUGUCUUUAAAUGUUCUCUAUGUGAUUCUACAGCAAUGAGAAUUGUGCAUGAUAUUCUUUAAGCCUCCAGUACGACAGAAUCCUAACAAAAAUAUCCCUUCACUUUGCUGCCGCAGUCUUUAUCCAUGACACUUGGUUAUGAAUUCCAGAGUUCAUCUUUACCCCUUCUUUCAUACAGAGAGAUUCAGGUAAAUCUAUUGUUGGUGGGCUCACCCCACUGUUUAAAAAGACAUGCUCGGUCAUGCCUAACACUCAGGAGAAAACACAGCUUAGGGUCAGCAAACGUUUUCUGUAGACGGUCAGAUAAUAAAUAUUAUAGGCUUCACAGGCCCUGUGUUCUCUGUCACAACUACUCAACUCUGCCAUUGUAGUAGGAAACCAAUCACAGGCAAUAUGUAAACGAGCAGGUAUGGCUGUGUUCCAAUAAAACUUCAUUUAUAAAAACAGGUAGUGUACUGAAUUUAGCCCAGAGACAAAUCUGCUGCCUCCUAGACUAGAGAUUGGAUCACAUAAAGGACUUUUGAGCUCAGGGGACAGGCCUAGGCUGCAGAUACAAAUGAAGGAGGCAUUACCUAAAAAUGGGUAAGCUACCCAGGACCACUGAGAAAUGAGAGCCAGGGACAGAAUACAGGGAAACACUGAUAUCUUAUUAUUUAAUUUAAUUUUAUUUUAUUUUACUGGUUUUAUUUGAGAGAGAGAGAGAACACACACACACACACACACACACACACACACACAAGCAGUGGGGGUUUGGGGGGGUGCAGAGAGAGAAGAAGCUGAGCCUGACUUCCCAAGGGCUCGGGCUUGGGGGUGGGCGGUUUAUCCCAGGACUCUGAGAUCAUGACCUGAGCCAAAGUCAGAUGCUUAACCGACUGAGUCACCCAAACACCCCAACACUGACAUUUUAAAGGAUGGGUAGAGAUAGAGGAAACUGUAAAGGAAAUUGAGAAGGAAUAAAAAAUGAAAAAACAGGAGCGUUAGGGCAAUUGGAAAAAGAGAGAGAGAGAGAAACAAUCAACAUUAUCACAUGCUGCAGAAAGAAGUACUCAUUUCUUCAGCAGCCAUCCUUGGCCUGGAACCUACUAAACUCCUGUUUCAUAUAUUUUGAAGUAUUGAAUUUAUUGUUUUUGCUUUAAAUAUAUUACGUCUCAAAUUUUGCCUGUUUGUAUUGUGGAAGGUAGCACAGUGGUAAGUUUAAGUAUAAAGACUCUGAUAUAAGUUGGUUUAGAUUUACAUGUAAACUUUUUUUUCAGAAAAAAAAAACCCUAAGUUUUAUUUUCAAAUAUUUAAAAUCAUAAAUGUGUUUAAAAAUGAAUAGAAGUUUAAAAACCCAAUUCUAGGUGUUUGGGAGUUUUGCAGCAUUGGUUUGAAUCCUUUCACAAUAUAAUUACAAACGUGGUCAGCUUCGCAACCUCUAUACAUUGGUCAACCACCCGGAGCCCUUUCUUGACAAAUAUAGAUGGGCUUUUGAAAGCUCAAAAUUGAGAAUCACAACAGCAAGCUUUAGGGGGUGGCUUUGAGUCAGGAUUCAAUCAGGAAAAAAACCACACAGUAAUUUGAAUAGGGUAAGUUUAGUACAAAGAACUAUUAACUAUAGCAGGAGAUUGUUGUGGGGAGGGAUUGGAUAGUAAGAAGUCAAAAGAAGGCUAAAAAAUAUGGGAAAAGCAGGGGCCUCCGGCUGGCUCUGUUGGUAGAGCAUGUGACUCUUGAUCUCGGGAUCCUGAGUUUGAGCCUCAUGUUGGGUGCAGAGAUUACUUAAAUAAAUACAUAAUUUAAAAAAAAAUAAUGUGGGAAAAGCAGGUAUGAGGAGGAACCACUCCCCUUAAGGCUGAGAUGGAGAACCCAAAGAAGAAGGCCUUCCCUUUCCAGGCUGAGAUUUAUUGGAGGACACCAGAGGAAACUGUUGGCUUGCGUGCUGCCUGUUUUGCAGGAGCCUGUCCCUGGAUAAGAAGCUGGACGCUGGAGAAGACGUGGGUUCUGCAGGGGCCCAACAAGAGGAGCAACUGUAACAGGAAGGAAAGCCCCUUCCUCCCGCACCCACUCCUGACUAUAACAUCAUGCCAGCUGGCAAAGGAAGAAUACUUAAGGGGUCUCUCUUAAUUUUUGCAGAGCAGGCAGAGAAGGAUAAAUCGGGGUUGAGAGGCAACAGAUUGAUUAUUCACACAAUGCUCACAUGCACUUUAACCUAGGAAUCUCCCUAAGUGACCUCCUAUCAACGGCAUCUCUGCUUCUGGAAUAGGCUGUAUCAAAAAAAAAAUGGAGCCUUCCAAAUUUUUGCUCUCUUGUCCUAAACGUAUAUUUAUUUUCAAGACAAUGAAAUAUGGGACAAAGUUUAACUUCAGAAUACCCUUGAAGUUUUCUCUUUAACCUCUUAUAUACCAUCCAUUGAUCUUAUAAAUUCCAUAAAUUUUACCUCCUAAAUAUUUCUCAGAUGCGUUCGUCCCCUUUUCCUGCGGAUACCACCCAAUUCCAGCCACGACUAUUUAUCUCUUUCCUAGACUAAUACACUAAUCACACAGUAGUUUCCCCCACAUUCACUUUAACCUCUAUUCGAAUCCAUUUUCCACUCGGUAGCCAGAAUGCUUCUUUUUAUUUUGAAAUAAUUUUAGAUUCACAAGCGGUCCAGGGAAGACCUGUGCAUUCUUACCCUGGCCUCCCCCAAUGUCAAUAUCACAUACAACUCCAGUAUAAUAUCAAAACUCAGGAAACUGAUAUUGGUACAAUCCAUAGAGCUCAUUCAUAUUUUACCAGUUAUGCAUGUCCUGGUGUGUGUACGUAUGUUUGUGUGCGUGUGGAGAGCUCUAUGUAAUUUUAUCACAUGUCGUCUUGUAGAACGACCACCACAAUCGAGAUACUCAACUGUAUCAUCCCCACAAGAUUCCCUGAUAACAAGACUCCCUCGUAUUAUCUUUCUAUGGCCACACCCACCUGCUCCCUCAUCCCUAACCCAUCAGGGGCAGCCACGAAUCUCUUCUGCAUUUUUAUGAUUAUCUUAUUUCAUGAAGGUUACACAAAUGAAAUCACACAGUAUGUAUCCUUUCGAGGUUUUUUUCCCCCACACAAUGUAACUUCCUUGCGUUUCAUCCAAGUUAUUGUGUGUGUCAGUGUGUUGUUCCGUUUAACUACUUAGCAAUAUUCCAUGGUAUGUUUGUACCACAGUUAAAGCAUUCAGUCACUGAAAGACUACAUGGGUAGUUUCCACUUUUUGGCCAGUAUGAAUAAAACCAUUAUGAACAUUAAUGUACA
ensembl:lncRNA